GGGCCCGCACAAGCGGUGGAGUAUGUGGUUUAAUUCGAUGCAACGCGAAGAACCUUACCAGGGUUUGACAUCCUGCGAAUCUCUUGGAAACAGGAGAGUGCCUUCGGGAACGCAGUGACAGGUGGUGCAUGGCUGUCGUCAGCUCGUGUCGUGAGAUGUUCGGUUAAGUCCGGCAACGAGCGCAACCCACAUCUUUAGUUGCCAGCAUUUAGUUGGGCACUCUAAAGAAACUGCCCGUGAUAAGCGGGAGGAAGGUGUGGAUGACGUCAAGUCCUCAUGGCCCUUACGGGUUGGGCUACACACGUGCUACAAUGGCAGUGACAAUGGGUUAAUCCCCAAAAGCUGUCUCAGUUCGGAUUGUCGUCUGCAACUCGCCUACGUGAAGGAGGAAUCGCUAGUAAUCGC
rnacentral:rRNA from 1 species